rnacentral:rRNA from 1 species
GAUGAACGCUGGCGGCGUGCCUAAUACAUGCAAGUCGAGCGAACAGACGAGGAGCUUGCUCCUCUGACGUUAGCGGCGGACGGGUGAGUAACACGUGGAUAACCUACCUAUAAGACUGGGAUAACUUCGGGAAACCGGAGCUAAUACCGGAUAAUAUAUUGAACCGCAUGGUUCAAUAGUGAAAGACGGUUUUGCUGUCACUUAUAGAUGGAUCCGCGCCGCAUUAGCUAGUUGGUAAGGUAACGGCUUACCAAGGCAACGAUGCGUAGCCGACCUGAGAGGGUGAUAGGCCACACUGGAACUGAGACACGGUCCAGACGACUACGGGAGGCAGCAGUAGGGAAUCUUCCGCAAUGGGCGAAAGCCUGACGGAGCAACGCCGAGUGAGUGAUGAAGGUCUUCGGAUCGUAAAACUCUGUUAUGAGGGAAGAACAAAUGUGUAAGUAACUAUGCACGUCUUGACGGUACCUAAUCAGAAAGCCACGGCUAACUACGUG